rnacentral:tRNA from 1 species
AGCAGUGUUGCCAUGUGGAAAGAGCACAGGCCUGGGAGUCUGAGGACCUGGAUUCUAAUCCUAGCUCUGCUA